rnacentral:sRNA from 1 species
GGGAAAAGAAUCUGUGCAGUUUUUGCUUUUGUUAUAAUUCUAAAAAUACCAAACGUGUUUGUUGCACAGUUGGCUGUUGUCCUGUGAGUUGUUGGGGAAGGGCUAUUACAGACUCUUCCCUGUCAGAAAGACUGUAAACCUCUCUUACUUAGUUGCUGCUUACUUUAAACAGUAGAUAGGGUUAUACUUAUGCAGAUUGAUGGAAUACAUUGUAUGGCUAGCUUAUCCUUUUGUUCUGAGUUUUAAAAUUUAAAUUUGAAGCUUGUAAAGCAGGCCCACACAAUGUGUUGUCUCCUGAGUUGAAGUGUGUGUUGUUAUGCUUACACCUCAGUAAGACUUUUAAAGGUUUGUGAUUACGAGAUGCUCACAGUUAUGAUGGACCAGCAAGGUCUGCCGACACCCAGAAAAGCAGCAUAGCUGGUAGUAAAGGAGGUUAACAAAGUUCUCACAUGGGAAAAUUAAUGUCCUUAAGUUUUUCGGUUAUUGAUUCUUCAUGAAUUCAUAUCACACACUCCAAUCUACACUUCUUUUACUUGCAAAUGAGUCAUUGAUCUGGUUUGAGGCCUCUGGCUUGUGCUAUAAUGUUUAUACUGAAUCCUCACUGGGACUCCUCUCUGAUAUCCUGUUGCUGUCCUCUGUCUUGGGGAUUCUAUAGCUUUGGAUCUGCAGGACCCGUGCCUUCUUGUACUUUAGCAGUUCAUACAUGGAGUAGGUGUUGGGGCCAGCUCAAAGGCCCUAGAUCUGGGCCUGGGGGCUAGCUGGGUUUGUCAGCCCUCCGUCUCUCUUAUCACAUGCACACCACCAGGGCCAGCUCUCCAGCACUGCCCCUGCUAACUUACCCAAUGCCGAAGCUGGCAAGGUAAGGGCCCAGCUCUUCUACUCUCAUGCCCUUGGCGUUAAGCUCACCCGUGCUCAUGCUACCAUAGCCAGCUGUACUGGGCUGCCUAGGUUGGUUGCAGGGCCCAGCUCUCCUGAGUGCUGCGGCCUGGGCAGGCAGGGCCAACCCAGCUGAGCUCUUGCCAUCAGGGUCAGCUCACAGUCCCCCUCUCCCCAUUCAGCUCUGCACAGGGGAGGUGUGGUUUCCACUCUCCGAAGUGCUGCAGCUGGUGAGGGGAAGGACCAACUAUUGUAGAUGGGACCAGUUCUGCACAGUCAGUGCACAUCAACAUGGUCCCAGGCAGUAGCCCAGACCAGGAACGUUCACAUGGCCUUUGGCGGUAACAUGGGCCACAGACAUUGACACCAACCGCUGCUGCUGCAUGGCCACUGAUCCAGACCUCCUUUAGUGACAGCAUGGGCCAGGGCUUCACCAUGGCCUUAGGUGGAGGGGCCUCAGGUGGAGGGGCCUCAGGUGGAGGGACUCAGGUGGAGGGGCCUCAGGUGGAGGGGCCUCCGGUGGAGGGACUCAGGUGGAGGGGCCCUCAGGUAGAGGGACUCAGGUGGAGGGGCUCAGGUGGAGGGGCCUCAGGUGGAGGGGCUCAGGUGGAGGGGCAGGUUGUUCCUCUCCAUUCUGUGUCUCCAGUUCCACCUUUCUUCACAGUGCUCACAUCAUUCAGCUUCUCUCUCCCGUCUCUCCACCAUAUACUUCCUCACUGUAGUGAUUCCUGCUGUGAGUGGGCCAGGUGGCAGGUGGGCCUCUUAGUGUCAUCCACUGGCCUUAAGUUUUAACACCUGAACCAUGUGCUAUGCUUAGAGAAAACUUGGCAUAAAUCAGUCAUCAUUAAACAGCCUAGAAGUCAGUAGUGAGAGCAUAUGUGUUACUGGAGCGUCAGUGUGCUUAGGCAUCGCAGGGCUAGAUUCCAUAAUAGAGCAUGCUGUUGUGGGUAGGUCGACUCAUGAUGGUAACUAUCAUGACACAUGUGACCACAGAGCCAUGGUAAAUGCCUAGAAACUUUUGUGUAUUGAAGAUACUUGCCCUGCCUCCUGGAUGAUUCUCUGUUAACAUUUUACCGAAUGCUAGUAUCCUUUAAAAUAGUUUGAAAUAAACUAAACUAAGGCAGGUAGUUAUGGUGACCACCAUUUCAAACCCAAACAGACUUCUGUAUCCAAUAAUCAGGAAGUAUGCUGGCUUUCUCCAUUGUAGCCCUUUGGUAUUGUGGGUUUUCCUUUUAUUCCUCCUCCCCUUCUCCUCUUCCUCUUCCUUUUUGGUACUAUAGAAAUGUUCUUUUGCUAAUGAACACAUACUUUGUAGCUUCUGAUUUAGAAUUAUUAAUAGAUAAUCUGUUUUCUCGGUCUGACUUGAACACUUAGAAACUGUAAAUGUCCUUGCUCUAUUUGACAUGAAGAGCCUGGAGGAAAUCCCUAAUCAAAUGAGAGCAGCCUUGGCUGUCUCAUAAGGCUGCAGCUGAUGUCUUUACCUCUGUAGCUUUCAAGCCUCUGACUUGGAGUGCAGUAGAAGUAGCCUUUUUGGACUUCUUCCCUUGGUGACUCAGAGUCUCUGGAAUCAAUAAGGUCUGCAUUACUUUACAGCACAAGCUAAUUUAAUUCAUGAGCACUGUAGAAGCCAAAAGGCAUCUAAUCAGAGUCACUAAAAUAUUAAAGCAGAUAAAUUAUAACUCUUAGGUUUACAUGGACUGUGUCAUGUUCCAUCAUCACUUCUACACUGGCUUCAUGUGCAUUUCCUGUAUUGGGAGUGUGGGUGUAAGAUCUGUAUUCAUGGUUCUUCCAAAUGUAGUUCAUAUCCCUCCCAUAGGAUACAUCGAUACAAUUGGAAUGUGGCACUUGGCUUUGAAAGUCAGAAGCUCAUUCUUAGGGGAGUUCUCCAUGUUUGUCAUUGAUGAAGUUAGUUAUCUUGUGACUGAAAAGUACUAGAUUGUAUUUAUCACUUGGCACACAGCAUGUCAGAUAUAAUGAUACUCAAAAGUGGAGAUCGAUUCAGUAGGGUUUCUUCUGUAUUCUAAUAACGAAAUUAAUCUAGUAUACUCAUGUCUUCUAGCUGGCAUCUUUUCAUUUUUUUAUUUGAAUUAAAUAGUAAGUAGCCAUUCCUUUUAAAUACAGCUUUGGUAUUGACAUCAUUAUCCAGACGCCUACUCUGUUGUUAGAAGGGUGAAGAUUCUGUGCUUUAAUCUCACUCUAGACUUACAUCUCUCAUUAUGAUCGAGCCUACUUUUUCUUUUUUUAGAUUUUGGCAUUUUAUGUACCCAUUUUGAUGUGAGGCCUUAAUUCCUAUUAAAUUAACUUGCAUUUAAUACUGUGUGUUGCAACCCAUUGAGACUCAGUCUUAUGCAUUCCCUUUUUAAGUGGAAUGCUGUGGUUUCCGGCCUAGUUUGCCGUUGAUUUCCUUUGAUUAUAAGAAGACUACUAUGAAAUGACAUUUUUUAAAGCAAGAACCAUUUCCAGUGUAGUAAAAUAUGGAGUAUUUUCAGAGCCAUGGGAAGAGCAGCUUAAAAACAAACAAAAGGCACCUUCUUCUGGCAGUGGAACAUUGGAUCUGUUCAGGCUCUGUCAUACACAGCCCUUCCUUGGCAGUUGAUUCCUGUCUUCCCAUAAGAGAGAUUUUCUUUCGUAUAUGCCUGUUGCAUACAAAUCACAGAACAUUCCAGGUUCAGUCUAAGAUUUGCAUCUGCUGGGAGAUAUUCCUUAUACUUGCUUUCUUUGAUGGGACAUUCUCUGUGGCUAUCUGAUGGAGACAUCUCCUUAUUUUUGAGAGCUUUACUUUGUAUGGUAUAAAGUAUAUCCUUUUCCUCUGAUAAUUCUCACAACUAUGCCAUAACUAGAUGUUGUUAAAGCAUUUCUGUUUUAAGUGAAGGACUGAAAAACCAAAGCAUAGAGGGUUUUGUUGGUGGAGGUACUGGUUUUAUCUUGUUUUUAGAGGCAGGGUCACAUUGUGUGUCCCUGGCUAGCCUAGAGCUCACUGUGUAGACCAGACUGGCUUUAAACUCACAGAGAUCUGUCUACCUCUGCCCCCAAGUGCUGGGAUUAAAGGCAUGCUCCACCAUGCCUGGCUUAGAGAGUUGAAGCUACAUAGAGUUAGAAUUUGUUCAUCAGUUUAGCUGCCCUCAGCCCCUAGUUCCUGCCAGCUGUUCAUUCCCUCAUCUUGUCAGAUGCUGUGGUUGUCCUUCCUGAGGUUCCUGAUGCUCAGCCUUGUUUUUAUUGCGCUGUCUCAUCCAUAUUGUUAGGCUCAGUUGGGAUCCUGUGGUCGUUGCUGGGCUGUGCUCUUCAAUGUUGCCUCUGUGCACCUCUAUGGCAUCAUUUCCUAUCCCUCACCUCAGGGUCUAAAACCCUCAUUGUGGUUCUCUGGUAAGCUGUUUGCUUCUCUCCUUUCAUCCUGAAGGCUCAGUUCUGAUUUGGUGUCUCUUCUAUUCUCUCAGCCUCUUCUGAAAGCUCUGUCUUCCCUCCCUGCACUUGCUUUAUUUCUCAUGUUCUGUAUGAAAAUAUCUCUAUUUCUCCCGAGACUAAGCUUCGCCCAGACUGGACUGGUGUUUUAUAAUUCAUGACUCCAGCAAUGUAAGUGUGAGCUUUGAGCCACAAUUUCUAAGACAUUUCAAAAUAAUUGUAUAAGGUGACAGUUGACCUCAGAUUGACAGCUAGAAGAGAAAAGAGGGGGAGUCAGUAGAUAUGACCCUUACGAUUGUUGAAUACAUGUUUUUGUACUGUUUGUUUAUUUACAAAGCUCACCUUGAUUGCCUAGACAUAGUAGAUGAGCAGUGACUUCUGUAAUUGAGCAUUUUUACCACAGCUUGAAUUUUUCUAGAUGAUAUAUUACUUGAGGUAAUCGUGUUUCAAAGUAGAAUUUAAUGAAUUUGAAAUAUUUUAUUUAGUAGUGUUUGUCUUAAGGGCUAAUGGAUUUUUUUCUUCUAAAUAAUCUGCCACUAGGGGCGCCCUCAAAUCUUUUGAGAAUUAGGUUUGUUUCAGCUUUAAUUAAAGAUAAAUUCAUAUUGAGUUUUGUUUAUUAAUACUAGGUUAUUAAGAAUGAAGCACUUUAAACAUGUAUGUACAGUUCUUGAUUUGUAUGCAACUCUUCAUUGCAUUAUAAUUUUGGUAAACUGUCAUUGAAUUCUCUUGAACAUUAAAAGUUGAAAAGUAUUUUCAACGUAUUUUUUAGAGUGCAAAAACGUUUAAAAGUACCAACUAUGCAGUUUAUUGUUAACAUGAAAAAUAGUGAUUAUUCAGUAAAUACUAUGUAGAGAAGACCUUUGUAUUUUAUGAAGCUGCAAAGGUCUUCAUGUGUAAUGAAUUGAGUCUUAGAAAUAGUGUGACUUUUUGAUUAAAGUCCUUUUUUGUCUCAAGAACUGGAAUGGAGGUAUUUUUUCUAAGAAUAUUCCCAGAUUGGUUGUUAAUUAUUUGAAAUUAGAAUACAUAUGGUAAAAUUUGUUCUAUUCAUACAAGUCUUGCACUUUAAGAAUUUUAAGUCCUUGAUGGCUUAUUUCCUAAGGCAAGAAAUUAAUUCCAAUGAAAAACUCAUUAAAAGCAGAUGUGUUUAGGGAGCAGCUGUGAUUGGGGCUUUAGUGGGGUCUGAAAGCAAAUCUUUCUCCCCUUGUUUCUCCUUCCUCCUUUUGUCUCGGCAAAUGAGUUUAUUGGUCUGAGUGGAGGCUGGUCUGAGUCUUGUUGCAUGCUGAGUGCUUUUGUGAGGCUCGAAUUGUACCUCUUCCGGGACCUCUUGAAUGAGAUUCACAGAGGUGGUGAUCAAUGCAAAAGCAAGAGGAGUUUAAUCAUUCCGACGUGUUGGGGUUCUCCCACUUCAGGACCAUCUCCUGAGCAGACUCACAACAGGGAGUUAUAAACCUUGAAAACAGUUGGGGCAGAAUUCAAACAGUGGUAACCGAGCAGGGCAGUAUGUGCAUUUGGUGGAGGGAAA